UACAGAGGUCUCAAGCGUUGUUCGGAUUCAUUGGGCGUAAAGGGUGUGUAGGCGGCGCCGUAAGUCGGGUGUGAAAUUUCGGAGCUUAACUCCGAAACUGCAUUCGAUACUGCGGUGCUUGAGGACUGGAGAGGAGACUGGAAUUCAUGGUGUAGCAGUGAAAUGCGCAGAUAUCAGGAGGAACGCCGGUGGCGAAAGCGACUCUCUGGGCCGUUCCUGACACUAAAGCGCGAGAGCUAGGGGAGCAAACAGG
rnacentral:rRNA from 1 species